CCUUCCGGCAGAUCUUCAGACCGGACAACUUCAUCUUCGGGAGCUGAGUUGGGGCUGUGGAUACUGAGUAUCAACAGUAUCAGGAUGCCACCGCCCAGGAGGAGGAGUUUGAGGAGUAUGCUGAGGAGGAGGCCUAGAACUUUCCUUUUCUAGGUAAAGGGGGGAAGCAGUGUGGAUUCUUUACUGUGUUCUGACUGCCAUGUGUCACUACGCACUUGUUCGUGUCUUCACCUCUCCUCCUCCUGCAUUUUAAAGCAUUUUUAUAGUAUAUGAUUUUGCCUAAUAAAGUAUCCUCAUAGCA